GGGGGUGUAGACUAGGUGGGAGAGCAAUCGAUUCUGAAAAACCACUACCCUGUUUGGAAUUAUGCUUACCUAUCACAAGGAAUAGGACUAGAUAGAAAGUUUGGCUGGGGCGGCACACCUUCGAAAGAGCAGCGAAGGUGUCCUAAGUUGAGCUCAGUGAGGACAGAAAUCUCACGUUGAGGAUAAGGCCAAAAGCUCAAUUUACUGUGCCUUUUUGUACUAGGAUCAGUUACGAAAGUAAGGCCUAACGAUCCCUAAAUAGCCUCAGGUGCGUGAGGAUUGGGGUGACAGACAAGUUACCUCCGGGACAACUGGCUUGUGGCUGCUAAGAGAUCAAAUCAACGCAGCUUUUUGAUUCUUCGAUGUCGGCUCUUCCUAUCCUAGUGAUGUACAAGUUGCUAAGGGUCGGAUUGUUCACCCGUAUUAGGGAUCGUGAGCUGGGUUUAGACCGUCGUGAGCCAGGUUUGUUUUAUCCUACUGGAUAUAGCAUCAUGAUAGUAGAUUGAUUUAGUACGAGAGGAACUGUUGAUUAUGGCCUCUGGUUAGCGAUUAUCGGAAACGGUAUGUCGCGCAGCUACGCCGUCUGGGAUAAUGGCUGAAAGCCUCUUAAGCCAGAAGCCCAUCUAGAAAGUGAUGCACGUGAUGUUGGACCGAUACGAAUAAUCAUACUCAAAAGGUCCGCUUCAUAGGUAACCCAAUGUAGAAGACAUUGUGUGAACGAAGGUACUGUAAGCAGUGGAGUGGCAUUACGUCCACGACCUGUUGAGGUUCAGCUUCGCUUCUAGGUUUCC
rnacentral:ncRNA from 1 species